AGAUAUGAGGCUCAUCUGGCUGUGACAUCUCUCACACUAUUGAUUGCCAAGCUUGAUUUGGCUGGUAUGGCUAGCUAGGCAGGUGUCCACUUCCUCCCUCACCACUCCAUGUGUAUUGCUUCUGAAGCUAUGUACUUGGUUAAAAAGGACAAACUUCCCCAAAUAGAGAAGGGAAUGAGUAUCUGAGGUCCAUGCUAAAACCUCCAAACAAACUCUUAAUAGAAUAAAGGAUAACAUUUUAAACAGAAGCAAUUGCCACAAGAUGCAGGUGCAAAACAAGUCAACUUU
rnacentral:snRNA from 1 species